GAUGGGAGUAAAUGCCACAGACAGCACCCAAAGCACUCGGUUUUGUGCUGUGUUCCAAAGAGUCAACAAUGAAGGAAAUAGGGCUGGACUCAACAGGCAAGGCCGUCCUGUGAAGAUUUACUUGUUACUGUCCAUACGCCUGAACUGCAACAUUUAUCCAAUGGCCCCGUGCUUCAGUUCUGUACACAUGGAGAUCCUCGGGAAAGUUAUUUUUUUCAUGACAGAUCUCCUUGAUUUAUAUUCAUCUGUAGCCAAGAUCUAGGUGGAAGGUAGCACAUUUACUUUAAGAAUUGCAUUUGCAAUAAUGAAAGAAAUUUUGGAGAAAAAAGGUUCACAUUAUUAAUAUACUUGGCCAUUAAGAUCUUUGGCUAUGAAGAUCAGCCUUAACUCUAGAAUUCCAUUCUGCCAGCCAUUUCCCCCUAGGAUGAAAUACAAAAACUCCUGCUUAAGCUAAGAUGGAGCCAUAAUUGUCUAAGAAUGGUGUGAAAGAAUCAUCUCUGGAGCUUACUGGGAAUUAUACUUUUCAGUGGCUUUCCUCAAGGUACCUCCUCAAGAAAAGAUGUUAUCUUUCAUUCAUACAUAUAUACAUACACAUGUAUGUAGAGAGACUUAUGCACACAUACAACAGUUUUUAAUCUUCAGGCAUACUAAGUACACUGCGCUUAAAAGGAACAAGUUGAGAUGAGCAGGUGAAUGGCCAGAAAAUAUAGAUGACAGCUGAAACUCCUAUUAGCAAAUGCCAGGUAGUGCUAUGAACUGACUCGCUUUGGCUACAUGUUUCCGGGCAGAGAACAUAUAGAACUGGCUUUUGCAUAGCAAAUCUUUGAAGGUCAAAAUCAUCUUCAAACAAGCAAGAUACCGGUAUUUCUUUAAAAUGCAUCCAUGAGGGGUUUUCUUCUCAUAACAGUAGCCACAGCACAUUAACUCUGUUUGCACUGAUAGCCUGUGGUCUCCCCCAUUAAUCAAACUCAAGCACUGGUUGAAGAUAUAAGCCAAAGAAAGUGAAUAGUUAUGUUUUACUCAGUGUCAAAUGCCCAAAAAGCAACUACAGUUUGCCUCAUGACUUUAGUAAAAGUUCUUUUAAUUAAGUGUAGAAUGAGCAAGUGUAAAGCCUGGGUUAACCUGAGUUAUGUUAGUGGUGAAUAGCCUAAGGGAAUUCAUUGUCAAGGAAGUAUCAGUCAACUGACCUCUGGGCUGUGUCUGUAUAUGAGUAAGCAAGCAGAACUGAGGAAGGGGCUCAAACACUGCUUGUUUAAUCCCUA
rnacentral:lncRNA from 1 species